rnacentral:rRNA from 1 species
CGCGUAGGCGGUCCCUUGCGUAGGCGGUGAAAGCCCCCCGGCUCACCUGGGGGAGGGCCGCCUAAACGGGGGGACUUGGAGGGCGGUAGGGGCUGGCGGAACGCCCGGAGUAGCGGUGAAAUGCGUUGAGAUCGGGCAGAACACCAGUGGCGAAGGCGGCCAGCUGGGCCGUCCCUGACGCUGAGGCGCGAAAGCCAGGGGAGCGAACGGAAUUAGAUACUCCGGUAGUCCUGGCCCUAAACGAUGGCAACUAGGUGUGGGGGGUAUCGACCCCCUCCGUGCCGCAGCAUACGCAGUAAGUUGCCCGCCUGGGGAGUACGGCCGCAAGGCUAAA